UGCGAUAGGGAUCCCAAGUGCCAUGCCUUUGGUAUGGCUUUUGCCAAGUGUAAGAAGCUUGGCGAAUAAGUGGUGGGUAAGACGGGUGCCAGCCGCCGCGGUAACACCUGCGCCACAAGUGGCAAUCAUGAUUAUUGGGCCUAAAGCGUCCGUAGCCGGGCGAGUAACUCUUUUGUGAAAUUGCUUAGCUUAACUAAGCACCGUGCAAGAGAAACUGCUCGUCUUGAGACCGGGAGGGGACAGAGGUAUGCUGGGGGGAGCGGUUAAAUGUGAUAAUCCUCGGUAGACCACCAGUGGCGAAGGCGUCUGUCUAGAACGGUUCUGACGGUGAGGGACGAAGGCUAGGGGAGCGAAACGGAUUAGAUACCCGAGUAGUCCUAGCAGUAAACGCUGCGAGCUAGGUGUUGUGCAUCUUACGUGGAUGUGCAGUGCCCAAUUGAAGAAGUUUAGCUCGCCGCCUGGGACGUACGGUCGCAAGAUUGAAACUUAAAGGAAUUGGCGGGGGAGCACAC
rnacentral:rRNA from 1 species